rnacentral:rRNA from 1 species
UGGGGAAUAUUUGACAAUGGGCGCAAGCCUGAUCCAGCCAUCCCGCGUGUGUGAAGAAGGCCUUUUGGUUGUAAAGCACUUUAAGCGAGGAGGAGGCUACUUGGAUUAAUACUCUAGGAUAGUGGACGUUACUCGCAGAAUAAGCACCGGCUAACUCUGUGCCAGCAGCCGCGGUAAUACAGAGGGUGCGAGCGUUAAUCGGAUUUACUGGGCGUAAAGCGUGCGUAGGCGGCUUUUUAAGUCGGAUGUGAAAUCCCUGAGCUUAACUUAGGAAUUGCAUUCGAUACUGGGAAGCUAGAGUAUGGGAGAGGAUGGUAGAAUUCCAGGUGUAGCGGUGAAAUGCGUAGAGAUCUGGAGGAAUACCGAUGGCGAAGGCAGCCAUCUGGCCUAAUACUGACGCGGAGGUACGAAAGCAUGGGGAGCAAACAGG